rnacentral:ncRNA from 1 species
GAAUGGGGAGCCCGAUUCGUACGGGCUGAGAGGAAGGUUUGACCUUCGACCCUUAAAACCUGAUUUGGAUAAUGCCAACGUAGGGAAAACGAAAG